GGGGAAAUCAAUGUAGUUGUCAAAGUAGACCUCUUCAAUGAUUUAAAUCGAUUUAGGCAGUCAUCAUGUGGAGUCAAAUUCUUUUGCACAACGUCUAUUCCAAAGUGCUAUAGAGCUGUGAUAAUUCAUGGAUUUGUAGAAGAACUUGUGGUCAAUGAAGACCCAGAAUAUCAGUGGAUUGAUCGAAUUCGCACACCAAGGGCGUCAAAUGAGGCCAGACAGAGACUCAUUUCAUUAAUGUCAGGUGAGCUGCAGAGGAAGAUUGGCUUGAAAGUACUUGAAAUGAGAGGAAAUGCAGUUGUGGGGUACUUACAGUGUUUCGAUCUGGAGGGCGAGUCUGGGUUAGUGGUGCGAGCCAUAGGAACGGCGUGUACUCUGGAUAAAUUAAGUAGCCCAGCAGCAUUCCUUCCUGCAUGUAAUUCCCCAUCCAAAGAAAUGAAGGAGUCUCCGCUGGUUCAUCCUCCAAGCCAUGGAUGCCGCUCGACUCACAACAGCCCAAUUCACACUGCUACUGGCUCACGACUUACUCAGAACUUCUCUGUGUCUGUUCCCACUCUCAUCUAUACUGGUACGAGACUGCUCAGACUCCAGAGCUGGGGAGAUGCAGGCCACGGGCAGAGUGGCUGCAGAGGCAGGCAGGCAGGAUUCCCUUCAAUGAAGAUCCCAAUCCCAAUACUCACUCAUC
rnacentral:sRNA from 1 species